AUUGAACGCUGGCGGAAUGCUUUACACAUGCAAGUCGAACGGCAGCACGGACUUCGGUCUGGUGGCGAGUGGCGAACGGGUGAGUAAUGUAUCGGAACGUGCCCAGUCGUGGGGGAUAACGUAGUGAAAAUUACGCUAAUACCGCAUACGAUCUAUGGAUGAAAGCGGGGGAUCGCAAGACCUCGCGCGAAUGGAGCGGCCGAUAUCGGAUUAGGUAGUUGGUGGGGUAAAGGCCCACCAAGCCAACGAUCUGUAGCUGGUCUGAGAGGACGACCACCCACACUGGAACUGAGACACGGUCCAGACUCCUACGGGAGGCAGCAGUGGGGAAUUUUGGACAAUGGGCGAAAGCCUGAUCCAGCCAUUCCGCGUGCAGGAUGAAGGCCCUCGGGUUGUAAACUGCUUUUGUACAGAACGAAAAGGUUUCUACUAAUACUAGGAGCUCAUGACGGUACUGUAAGAAUAAGCACCGGCUAACUACGUGCCAGCAGCCGCCGUAA
rnacentral:rRNA from 1 species